rnacentral:rRNA from 1 species
UACGGGGGGGGCAAGCGUUGUUCGGAAUUACUGGGCGUAAAGGGCUCGUAGGCGGCCAACUAAGUCGGAUGUGAAAUCCCCAGGCUCAACCUGGGAACUGCAUCCGAUACUGGAUGGCUUGAAUCCGGGAGAGGGAUGCAGAAUUCCAGGUGUAGCGGUGAAAUGCGUAGAGAUGUGGAGGAACACCGAUGGCGAAGGCAGCCCCCUGGGUCAAGACUGACGCUCAUGCACGAAAGCGUGGGGAGCAAACAGG